rnacentral:rRNA from 1 species
GACGAACCGUGCGAACGUUAUUCGGAAUCACUGGGCUUAAAGCGCGUGUAGGCGGGCCGGCACGUCGGACGUUGAAAUCCCCCGGCUCAACCGGGGAAGGGGCGCCGAUACGACCGGCCUGGAGGAACGUAGGGGGAGCUGGAACUUCCGGUGGAGCGGUGAAAUGCGUUGAGAUCGGAAGGAACGCCCGUGGCGAAAGCGAGCUCCUGGACGUUUUCUGACGCUGAGACGCGAAAGCCAGGGGAGCCGAACGGG